rnacentral:rRNA from 1 species
AGUGAACGCUGGCGGUAGGCCUAACACAUGCAAGUCGAACGGCAGCACAUUAAGAGCUUGCUCUUACGGGUGGCGAGUGGCGGGCGGGUGAGGAAUACAGCGGAAUCUACUUUUUCGUGGGGGAUAACGUAGGGAAACUUAUGCUAAUACCGCAUACGACCUACGGUUGAAAUCAGGGGAGCUUCGUACCUUUCGCGAUUGAAUGAGCCGAUGUCGGAUUAGCUAGUUGGCGGGGUAAAGGCCCACCAAGGCGACGAUCCGUAGCUGGUCGAAGAGGAUGAUCAGCCAAACUGGAACUGAGACACGGUCCAGACCCCUACGGGAGGAACAGGAGGGGAAUAUUGGACAAUGGGCGCAAGCCUGAUCAAGACCUACCGCGUGGGUGAAGAAGGUCUUCGGGUUGUAAAGCCUUUUUGUUGGGAAAGAAAAGCAGCAGGUUAAUACCCCGCUGUUGUGACGGUAACCAAAGAAUAAGCAACGGCUAACUUCGUG